CUUAUCCUUUGUUGCCAGCGGUCCGGCCGGGAACUCAAAGGAGACUGCCAGUGAUAAACUGGAGGAAGGUGGGGAUGACGUCAAGUCAUCAUGGCCCUUACGACCAGGGCUACACACGUGCUACAAUGGCGCAUACAAAGAGAAGCGACCUCGCGAGAGCAAGCGGACCUCAUAAAGUGCGUCGUAGUCCGGAUUGGAGUCUGCAACUCGACUCCAUGAAGUCGGAAUCGCUAGUAAUCGUGGAUCAGAAUGCCACGGUGAAUACGUUCCCGGGCCUUGUACACACCGCCCGUCACACCAUGGGAGUGGGUUGCAAAAGAAGUAGGUAGCUUAACCUUCGGGAGGGCGCUUACCACUUUGUGAUUCAUGACUGGGGUGAAGUCGUAACAAGGUAACCGUAGGGGAACCUGCGGUUGGAUCACCUCCUUA
rnacentral:rRNA from 2 species